rnacentral:lncRNA from 1 species
GUGGUUGAAUGUUUUCUUUAUUUUUGAGGUCGCAUGGUUACCUAUAAAUUGUUAUAUCUACUUUAUUCUGUUCUGGUUGAUAGUUGUCUGAUUCCAAAAAUGCCACAUCUCUUUUUUAUAUAUCGGAUAGAACACAGCCUUCAAUAUUUAAGGAUAUGUAAUUGUCUUGGACAAAGUGACGGUUAUCUAAGUAUAUAUUCGAAUCUGCCGUAGAGGACAUGUAUCAUGACCGUUUAAAUUUGAAAAUAAAUCUCUUCAACACUGAAU